rnacentral:misc_RNA from 1 species
GAUGAAGAACGUAGCGAAAUGCGAUACGUAAUGUGAAUUGCAGAAUUCAGUGAAUCAUCGAAUCUUUGAACGCACAUUGCGCCUGCCAGCACUCUGGCAGGCAUGCCUGUUCGAGCGUCAUUUCAACCAUCAAGCCCUAGGCUUGCGUUGGAGCCCUGCGGCUGCCGCAGGCCCCUAAAAGCAGUGGCGGGCUCGCUAUCACACCGAGUGCAGUAGAUUACUCUUCGCUCAGGGCGUGUGGCGGGUUCCAGCCGUGAAACCCCCUACUUCUCAAGGUUGACCUCGGAUCAGGUAGUAAUACCCGCUGAACUUAAGCAUAUCAAUAAGCUGAGGA